ACUUUUCAGGGAGACAAGUCCACUUAAUCAUAGUUAGUAAUAUUAUGCUUCUGAAUCUAUGUUUGACUUGACAACUUUGCUGAGGUUCUUUUGACCACUUGAUCAUUCUGGCAUUAAGAGUACCUUAAGGCAGCUCUACUGGCACUGACCUAAGUGUGGUUUUGUUAUUUCAGAAUCUCAAUAUUGGUGUUUUCCUCUUGUAUCAGCAGGUAUCUGGCAAUAUAAUUGCUUUCCCAUUUAUAGCUUUUGCAAUGUCAUGAGGUACAUAACACUGGAACCCCAUCACGCUGAGGUCUGGCUGAACAAUACAGCAGAUGUUCCAAGAAAAGCUGGGUUUCUUUAUACACCAGAUGCACAUUUGUGUUUGAGAAACUGAAAUUCCCAGGGAUAAAGCACCCCUUUCUCUCAGCUCAUUGGCAACUGUCCUGGGAAAGCUCCUUGAAAAGGGCAGCAGACGGUAUUAUCUCUAGCUUCAUGCUCAGCUCACGUUGGUGCAUUUUUGUCUGAGCUGCAAUUCCAGCUGUUCUGUUGCCCUGCAGGAGCUCUGGCAAGGAAGUUGUGGUGGAGAUAUGGAGGGUCUCCUCAACUGGGAAUAGCUUCUACUAUCAAUAGCAACAGCCUUGGGUGUCUCUACCUUACAUAUUGUUGUCUGAUUACAGAUUUCACCUAUCCCACAUUCAGAUCAUUUUGGACUAUCCAUGAAUUUAGAAUGGGAGCCAUUUUGGGGCGUAAUAGAAAAAUGGAGAUGUCUCCAACACUGCAGUUGAAAGGUGUCAUCCAUCUCUGGGCAAGGCAAAGCCAGCGCAAAGGCAAGUAGGUCCCUUAUCAUGGACAGAUGGUCUCAGCUAUUGCGGUGAUCAUAGAGGGAACAUGAGCAUCAAAAAACUGAGAAAUCAAAUAGUUUUGGUGGUGAAAGGGGGAAUCAGGGUACUGAGAACACCCCCCCCCCCCCAUUCUUUGUGUAUGUGUGUGUGGUUUUUGAUUAUUGCAUUCAGAUUUUUGGUCCACAAAUGAAAUCUGGGGAUAGCAAAAAGCUUGAGAAACAUGUUGUGAGAACAAGGAGGGUCCCAGCAGCCCUUAACAUCCCUGACCAGUCCCUUCUGGGCAUCAGGUGCUAAGAAGUCUCACCAGCCCCACCUGGACCCUGGCCCAGGCACUAUUUAAGCUCAGGCUGGGUCUUUCAUUUUGCCUUUUUUCUUGGGUGGGUUUGUGCUGUAACCAUAUCUUUUGCUGCUCCUGAUGGGGCUCCCUUUAUGGCUCUUCUUUCUCCACUACUUGUGCCUGGGGCUGCUGAUGGGCCAUUUGUGUCUCCUGGCUGUGCCCAGGCCAUGUGGAAUGUAGGUGAGGGCCUGUCUGGUGCUGGAGUGGUCCUCUGCUUCCAUGUGUGCCCAUGUGUUGGGACACUCUGCUCCUGCUGCUUCCUGGUAAUUGCUGAGGAAGACUCAUGGUGUGAGGAAACUGGAACACUGCAGUCUGGGUGGGCUCCUACACCAUGCUGCUGAGGGUGAGCCACCAAACCAUCCCAUGUAGGACAGGGUGAUCACCUGCAAAUGCUACUGGAGUCUGCGCUGAGGCUAUUUCUAUGGCAAUCUCUACAAUCUAAAUUCAGACUUCCUGGGCUCAGAGGACCCUUGUGUCUAUGUGAGCCACUUAAAGGAAGAAUGAAAAAGAAGAUAAACAAAAAUGGCAACUUGGUACAGGAAAGGCCAAAACCUUGCACCAGCCACCAGUAUCCCAGCUGCACAGCACAGAGGUCAGGGAUGCUCAGGAGUGUACCAGGACAGCCCAGCUCCAUCUCCAGCUGCCUUGGUGAGAAGCAUGAUUGAUAGUGACAUCAGCUCCCUAACAUCUGGGUGUGCCUCUGAUGUCAGUUGCUCUUGUGGCUGGGUAAGGCAGCACUCAAAGGCAGAAAAGCACAAAGUUGCCUUGCCACAAUGAUAGAUAUGCCUCCAUGUAUUCCUAUGGUUACUCUGUAAUUUAAACAAUUGUGCCAUGCAGCAUUUCUCUUUAAAGGGAGUUUUAGGUCCCACUUUGUACUAAAGGAGCUAUAUGAAGUGCACUUAUUAGAGGGAAAAAUAGCUGUAUAUAAAAUGAGUUGCUACUUGUAAGGGUAUAAAAAAAAAAAAAAAAGUCCCUCAGAGGGUGAGGUAUUCUUUCCUCUGACACUGAAUUUAAGGCUGCACUAUUCUACAAAUCAAAGCCAUAUGCCUCCUUAGAUAUGCAGUAUUUACAUUUUUAAUAUAAAAAUACUUUGCAUAUGCCAUCCAAGUAUUUUCAGGCCCUAAUAAAGUGUUUUAAGGACAAAAAGUGGCAUAGCUGUGCUUAUAACACACAAAAUCACCCUGUUUAACAUGGCCAUCUGUGAUAUGGUAAUGCACAAAUAAAAAAAGGAAAAGCAUCUUGAAAAGAUUUAUGCCCUUAGAUUCCUUCAUUUUUAUUUCUCCUAAAUUUUUGAUUGGACAUUUACUGAAAGUGCUGCAGUGAAAUCAAUGGAAAAUAAUUCUAAAUCUUAGCUUAUGACUGAAGUCAGAGAGCUCUAGGUAAUUUUAAAUGGAUUUAAGGCUAUUUUUGUGAAUUUUGUUAUAUAGCAUUUUAAUACAUUAUUGAAAUAAAGAAUACUUUAUGUGGGCAUUUGCCAAUUCAAAAUGUUGGCCAACAAUUAAAAUGUACAUAAGAAGAAAGCAAGCCUCUGAAGUUAUUAUAUCUUUGAUUUUAAUAACUUGUAGUGACAUCGUAAGGUUAUUUUAAAUGACUUACUAGCAUAAGUUAUUUGACAAGCAAGCUGAGAGAUACUUGUCUUUGUCAUAGAAGAUAUUUAAAAGAAAUAAUCUGCUUUUUAUUUCCUCCUUGCAAAUAUUUGUGACUCUACCACCAUCUAUAUCUCUAUAUGUAUCUGUAUAUAUUUUGGAACACAGUACUGACUAGCUUUAGAUUAUAAAAUCAAUUCUUCCAUUUGACAUCAUGCCCAGUAGAGUUCCUUUCUAAAGUUCCAAUAUUUCUUAGACAGCUUUUCUAGACCUAAUUUUGUAAACAUUAUUUUGCAAAUGUAUGAGUUGGAAACUUAAGAGUUGCAAUAAUAAAUAUUUAAGUUUGCAAAAAGCUUUAACUCUGGCUUAGCAUUUUCUGUAGGGUCCUGUACUCCCCAAACCUGGAGAAGCUGCCUGUGUGUAUGUGGAUGACUAGAAACAUGGCCGAUGCCAACAUUUUGUGUAUGAUGUUCAAAAAUAGGACCUUCUGUGUUGUUGUGUGUUUAUUUAUUUAUUUAUUUUUUCUGAUAUCUGCAAGCACAUAAGAAGAAACCCAUUUAAAACUGUAGGUUGAAUAUAAGAAGAUGUAUUUAAAUAUUUAUUAUAAAAUAACCUUAUGCCACAGAAAAUAUUUUAUUAGGGCUAUAUGGUUUUAUUUAAAUUCACUAAAGUUCCUUUCAAUAAGGCAAAUCCUAUACUGGGAUUCAAUUAAUUUAAUUCCUAGUCAAGAAUUCACUGAAACCAACAGCUGUUCUUACUGAAUAAAACCUGAAUAGCAAUUGAAUAAAAGCUUCAGGAG